UACAGAGACUGCAAGCGUUAUUCGGAUUCACUGGGCGUAAAGGGUGCGCAGGCGGCCAAGUGUGUCAGGUGUGAAAUCCCGAGCUUAACCUCGGAACUGCGCCUGAAACUACUUGGCUAGAGUACUGGAGAGGGUAACGGAAUUCACGGUGUAGCAGUGAAAUGCGUAGAUAUUCGCAAGAACACCAGUGGCGAAGGCGGCUCACUGGCCCGGUUCUGACGCUGAGGCGCGAAAGCGUGGGGAGCAAACAGG
rnacentral:rRNA from 1 species